CGGAAUUACUGGGCGUAAAGGGCGCGUAGGCGGCCUUCUAAGUCGAACGUGAAAUCCCCGGGCUCAACCCGGGAACUGCGUCCGAUACUGGAAGGCUUGAAUCCGGGAGAGGGAUGCGGAAUUCCAGGUGUAGCGGUGAAAUGCGUAGAUAUCUGGAGGAACACCGGUGGCGCAGGCGGCAUCCUGGACCGGUAUUGACGCUGAGGCGCGAAAGCCAGGGGAGCAAGCGGG
rnacentral:rRNA from 1 species